rnacentral:rRNA from 1 species
UASACGACUCUCGGCAACGGAUAUCUAGGCUCUCGCAUCGAUGAAGAACGUAGCAAACUGCGAUACUUGGUGUGAAUUGCAGAAUCCCGUGAACCAUCGAGUCUUUGAACGCAAGUUGCGCCCGAAGCCAUUAGGCCGAGGGCACGUCUGCCUGGGCGUCACGCAUCKCGU